rnacentral:rRNA from 1 species
GAUUUCUGGCACGAUGUACCUGUCCCGCUGCGGUCAACGCAUGUGAGUGACGGAGUAUGUUUGCCAUCCUUCUAGAGAGCACAAGCUAUCCUUUACUGGACCGGUUUGUGUCAUCUAGAUCUUUUACUUUGAAAAAAUUAGAGUGUUUCAAGCAGGCGUUUUUUGCUAUGAAUACAUUAGCAUGGAAUAAUGAGUUAGGACUUCGGUUCUAUUUUGUUGGUUUCUAGGACUGAAGUAAUGAUUGAUAGGGAUAGUUGGGGGUGCUAGUAUUCAGCGGCCAGAGGUGAAAUUCUUGGAUUCGCUGAAGACUAACUUAUGCGAAAGCAUU